CUUUGUACAGACAGUUCUUAGAAAGAGGCGCUUGACCGGCCUUAAACUGAGGCCCUUGCACCUCCAGAAAACAAUAGUUCAACAAAGCAAAAAAGAAAAGAAAAAGAGUACAAGUCCGUAAGCGAUAACGCGGCUACACAGCAUUGAAAGGCCGAGAUAAUGCGUCGACGGCCAGCCGGACGUCUUAGAGAGUUCUACGAAGCUCAACAAGUUUUGCCCCAAGUCUUAAGGCGAGACCCUCCACGAGCCCCCGAUCUCCUGCCUGAGCCAACAGCUUCCACAUCUGCAAUAAAGAGACCAUUUUGUAUAGAAGAUCAGUCGGAUGUCGAAUAAAGAAUCCCUUAAUCAGAGCUUUGUUUCUUGUGGUCCACGGGGCCCGGGCCAGUGCGCCUUAGCCAAUCCAAGCCACCCGCCGAUCUCUCCUAGUCGUGGCCAAGGCCAAUCUAUAGAAUGAGGAGAACCCACUUGAAUUCCAAGUAGACCCAGUCACCUCGCAGAUAGCGCUCCAAACGAAACGAGCCAUCGAACAUCGAAAGAGAAUAUGAUCACAAUCCUCGGGAUCCUGGCACCAGACACACUUGCCAUCACCUUGUCCAUGACAUUUAAGAACUUGGUCCCCAGUAGGGAUCCGCUGUAACACCCCGAUUCUCGUAAUGUUUGAGAAAAAGUUUUCCAAAUAUGAGGGCGAGAAAAUUUCGUUUAUUUUAUUGAUUGCAAAAGAUUAAAUUGUGUAUUUAUGAUUUGGAUGAUUUAAUUUAAACUAAUGCGAACCUAAAUUAAAAUUUAGGUUUAUUUUUUUGAUCGUGCUUUAUUUCUCUUCUUCGGUAUAUUACUUUGUGUGCCUUUGCCUUUUCUUGUUUUUCUAAGUUCAUUGGAGUUUUAUUAAGAUUUAUUUAUUUUCUAGAUUUCCAUAAAAAAUCUUCAGUUUUAUUUUUCUUUCUGUCAAAACUCUCGACAGAAUUUCCGAGUCCUUCCUACCUCUUCCUUUUCUCAUUAUGUCUAUUUCUUUCGCCUAACCAAAUUGUACCAAGCUCAUUUUUUUCCUUUGCUCUGCCACCUUGCCACUUGUCUGGCCGAACUAGCCCAGUACAAGGAAGCCAAUGUCUCUUCUUCCUCUCGUCACAGUUUCUUCUCUCGUUCCUGGCUAAAGGAGAGAAAGAGCCACCACGUCCAUUCACCUUGCCUCCUUUAAUUCCCCUCCCUCUCUCUCUCUCUCUGCCUAUUUUGCUCCACUUUUUAUCUCCCAGCACCCCAAGCGCUUCUCCUUCCUCACGCCUUCACCCAAUUCACCUACAUGCGUACAUGAAGCUUAAACGUACAUCCCUCCCAUAACUCGCAUCGAUCUUAAGAGUUUCACAACCUGUGAGUAUAUAUAUGUGCGCCCCGAGCUCCUCUUCCAUUCCCGCAGCAACCCCUGACAUCUUCCUUUCCCUGUUCUCCCAAGAGCUCUUCCCGAAACAAUGGUGAUCCAUGCACGCCAUUGUUCGUUCCUAGCGGCUUGGCGCAUCUGGACGCAAACCCUUGCGCCCGGAGCUUCUCCGUCACGUCGUGAAUCCAUUCAGGAAAAAAAGAACGUGUUCGGUUCACUUCACACGAAGAAUUUCGCAUGUACGUCUACACUGUUCAGCGAGUUCGUCGUAUCUAUUAAUGGCGCUCGGUGAGCCUCUAUCAAAUUUCUUUUGUACGCUUACUCGACAUUAUCCGAUGUAUCCCGUAGACAUCAUGUUUCAACCUAUCACAGUCAUUGGCCGUGCGCAACCAAAACCAAGUCCAGUAGAAGGCAUUAGUUUGUGUCUUUAUUUUCUGUCCCUUGGAUGACUUUGUGGCCAACAUAUGAAAUGGUUGUUUAGGCCAUAGGAACUUGACGGUUGAGUUGGAUUGUCAUGUUCAUGUUCAUAUGUAGGUUGUAUUGUGUAUUUAGUAUAGUUUUUUUUGUUAAAAUCAAAGUGGGUUAUCUUUGUCCCAUUAGCUUUUGUGAUAAUAUAUUAUUUAUAUAUAUGUGAUAUCAUGGUUAGGAGUCAUCUUGUAUUAUAUCAUAAUUUUAAGAGUAUCUUAUAUUUCACUCGAUGGAUUUGAGUGUACAUUUAAAUUAUUCAGAAUAGUUUUUUAGUUUUUCAUCUAGAUAAUUGCGUGCAUCAUGUAGUAGUAUUAUAUGUCCGUGUACUAGUUCUUGUGAAAUAUUUUCAUGUGUAGAUGUUGAUUCAGUGUAACGGAUUAUCAAUGUUCAUACAUGCUUGAUGGGUGUUAUUAUUUUAAUUAAUUUGGAUGAUCGUUAGAAUAAUCUUAUUAUUACUAUUUUGGUAAUGCUUGAGACUUAUUGUAUGUGUGCGUAUAAAUUUUAGUAAAUGUUUGCCAUGUUUAUAAUUCUUCAGAUUUGUUUUAGGUAUUGCUUGAUUUAUUUGUGCAAUAUUUCAUGUUUGAUUAUAUUGUUUAGCAUGAAGAUACUUAGAUGUGUUAUAUAUAUCUUUGUCAAGAAUGUCUAUCACAUGGAUGUUGAAUAGUUUUGAUGUGACGUCAUGUUCUAGAUUGAUGUUUAUUUUAAUUGUGCGACAUAUAAUUUUUGUUGUAUGCUUGGUGUAAUAAAAUGACAUUUUAACUUAGAACAUGGUCAUGCUUGACAUGAGUUGCUUGUUGUAGGACUAUUAUUAGCAUUUAGAUUACGUGUCACAGCUCGGUUAAUGCCACUUUCAUAAUUUCCUAAGUUGUGUGACACGUCAUUGUAUUGUGCGAUAUUUCACUAAUAAUGUUUGAGUGCUUGUACCUUAUUUGGAGAAUGAUUUUUAGAAAAGAUUGCAUGGUUGGUUCCCUUAUGCCAUGUUUUAAUAUGUAUUCAUGUACAUAGUUUAAUCUUGCGGCAUAGAAAGUUAUUACUUCUUGUUGUUUAUCCUUAAGUGUUUUAUUUACCUAGGACGGUAGCUAUGCAUGCUUAGUGGACUGCCAUGUCAUGUUUGUCGUUACUCAAAGUAGAAUGCAUGUUUUGGUUGUAUGUCUAUCACAUGUUAUAUGAUUACUAAUUAUAUUGCAUGUUCAUAAAUAUGGUUAGCCUUUGCAUGGUAGAUAUACCUGACAAUAUUUUGCGGUCUCAUGUAUUUUUAUUACGUGGAGUUCAUCCUUAUUUUGUCAACAUCAUGCCAUGUUGUUGUGAUUGUAUAACUAGAGUAUUGCAUGUGUGUAUCAACUCACGUCUUGUAUGAUGCCUAGUUGUAUAUCUAUUUAUUUAUUAAGUGUAGGUCAUACUUGAUAGAAAUGCAUUGCCAUCAUAUUAUUCGCGUUGUAUGAUACAUGAGCUAGUUGCUUACUUGCCUACAUGCUCAUUACUAUUUAUGAACGUGCUUAUCUGUAUUAACUAACAUUACAGGGUUGUGCUUAUUUCAUGAUUUCGUGUUCUUACAUGUCAUGACUAGAAUGUGAGAUUGCAUGCUAGUGCCAUGCUUGAUCUUCAUGAUAGUUGAUAUCAACUAAGUUAUCUCAUAGUUACGAAUUGUAUUCUAUUGGUAGCCUAGUGUGGUAUCUCAUGUGAUCAUCCACCAUGAUUAGUCAGUAUAUUUACUUAUCUAUCUAUUACAUUAUUGUAUUCUUAAGCCUAUAUAUCUUGUCAUGAUAGUGAUAUUUCAUGUCUUAUUAUGCUCCAUGUGUUAUAGUAGUGUACUUAGUCCUUGUGCUUCUUAAAGGUGAUUGCCCUUGUCACAUGUUAGUGUUUUAUACUUGAUGCAAUAGUUCAUCCCAUGCUUAGGAUGAGUCAUAUAUCAUGUUAAUAGAAUUGUUUGAUCAUACAGUUAGUGUGCACAUCAUGCUUUAUUGUUUUGAUCAUGUGGUGAUAAUAUAAUUGCCAGUGGUCGUUAGUAUUGGUUUGUCAUAAGGGAGUGGAUCCUAUUUUAUUUUAAUCUGUAUCACAACGUUAGUCUUGAUCGUCAAGCCUUCCUUAAUUAGCAGUGUCAACCUAACCGUAUCACUUCGUUGAAUCAUAUAUCUCACCUUCGCUAUCAUGAUACUUCAUUUUGGAAUCUCCAUCCGAUCAAUAUCUUGCUAUACAUCCACUCUUAAUUUGUUUUGGAUGUUAUUAUGAUUUGUUAUUGCUUUGGUAUUUAUUGAUUGUCUAUUGCUAUCGUUACUACGAGUAGGGAGUGACGAUGCUGGACAUGGACACAAACAGGUUAUUAAAGAAGGGCUCAACAAUGAAGGCAUGCCUCCUUCUUUGAUCAUACUUAUCCUAUGUUUUAUAAAUUGCAUUGAGUUUUAUAGUUACACCAUGCGUGUUUAUAAUCUUGUAUCUAGCGUUUCGAUUGACACACUACCUUGAUUCGCUUGUCGCCUAUCCAUUUGACACCUGAGUAGAAGUAUAUAGUAAUCUGGUAGAGUAGAAAUGCUUAGCCAUGCUUAUUACCCUAUAGGUUCUUGUUGAAUAAACUUUGAGUCAUUGACACUUGAAACUUAUAGCUGAGCUGGCCAGUUGGCCUUGGUGACCUUCUCUAUCCUCUUCUACUAUGGGUGAAACUUACCAUCCGAAUACUGGUGCGGGCGUCAGCUGAAUCAAGGAUUGAAGGAGCGAUUGGCUGCCCAAGGUGAAGGGAGAAAUCAGUCGUCCGUGCCACGUGAGGCCUAAUAAGUCUUGGAUUUGAAGAUUGUGUAAACAGUACAACCACAUGCUAUAUGGGCACUUGCUUGGUCAAGUAAGCUAGUGAGCCUUAGGUGUCGAAGUCGCCGUACCACAGAUGGGAUAGCUGCCUUGCGAGGAGUAUCCUCAGCACAGAUGGGGGGACCGGUUUGAGGAUGUACUCUCACUUCCGUGCGCCAGACCCAGUGGGCAUGUCACAUCUUUGGGGUAACUAGUCCAAAGACCUCGUCACAAUCUCCCUGUCGGUAUACCAAAUGGUGUACCAGACCAGUGGCCACUCGUGGCAUCAAGACGAGAUUGUAUCGUGUGGGUAAAGUGUAUAACCUCUACAGAGUGUAAAACUAUUCGAAUAGCCGUGUCCACGGUCAUGGACGACACAUGAAUCUUUCUUGACAUACGGGACCUGUCUUGCUUAUUCCCUCUUUGCCCCAAGUAUUGGAACCUAUGAUUAGUGUGAGUUGAUCGAGGAUCCUCACUUUGAUGAAAGUUACACUGGAUUUAAACAUGUUUUCAUCAAGAACUGCUUUUAUCCAAAUGCUAUUGUUUUUUAAAUAAAAUUAGCUUUUAUGCAAAUGAGCCAUACAACCUUCCUUUGAAGCCACAUGUAGCUGUUAGGACCUUCUCUGAAGGAGGCAUGUUGAGUACGUAAUGUACUCAUGGCAAUACUUUUGUUGACAAGAGAGUUACAUGAAGAUGAAGGUGAUGACUACGACUAUAAUGGCGAUCCGUAGGAGUGAGGUCACGUGGACUACAUCGACUGCCUGUGGCUGAGAUGGAGUCGCUACGCAUUGUAUUUUCCGCUGUUUUCUGGUUGUAUUAAAUGUCAUGAUACAUUUAUCAAUGUAUGCCUUGGGGCAAUAUGUAAUAAAAUAAAUUUAUGUAUCGUGUAAUGAUACCAUUUCACUAUGUUGUCAACAAUGAUGCUGGGGUUGACAAAUAUACACAUGAGGGUCUGGAAGUAAAUUCCAGGUUCUCACAUCCGCUGUCGAGCCACCUGCCAUAUGAAGAUCUUAACUUUGGCUCGGAUCCGGGCCCUUCACAGCCCCGAUAGGUCGCAAGGGGUCCUUGAGGAGAAAAUCUCCCUAUAAAGGGAGCGAGUCGAAAAUCUACCUGAUGGCUCAAGGCGCCAAAUCACUUCAUCCCUCUCUGAGUCCACUCGGUGCGUGCUAAGCUUGGUAAGAAGGUCCUCCCAUUCGGUGCCUUCCUCCUCUCCUAGGGAGCGGCAGAACCGGGGUAUCCACCUCCCAUGUCGCCACACUUCGGCUACCUUAGCAUUAGGCUCGGAUGAUAUCGCGAACAAAGCCGGGAAAUAAGGGCAUAGACGUUCAUCACCGCACCACCUAUCUAACCAAAAACACAUCGACAAACCGUUGUGGAUGGUAAACUUUGUCCCUAGCCGAAGAAGAAAUUGCACUUUUCGCACGUCCCUCGCAAAUUGAGAUAGCCUAAUGUUUCUUUUAAAGUCUAUACCGUCCUAGGCCAAAUACUUUCUCCUAAAGAUAUCGUGCCAUAAACCACUUGUACCCGUUUGAAUCCUCCACGCCCACUUGGUCAUGAGGCACCAAUUCAUAACCUUAGUAUUUAUCACCCCCACACCUCCAACCUCCUUGGGUUGGCAAAUCUGAUCCCAACUAACCAUGUGAUACUUUUGUUUCCCGUUCUCCUUGGCCGAGAAGAAUCUUGACCUCACCUUAUUCAGUUUCUCAUGAAUCCCAUCCUGGAGAAGGUAAAAGCCCAUGAUGAACAUGGGGAUAUUCGUCAGGAAAUCGUUUAUUAGGACCAAGCGGCCGCCCGAGGCCAACAGUUUUCCCUGCCAAGGUUCCACCCUGGCCUCAGCCUUAUCCACCAGAGGUUGCAAGUCUGCCAUGGUGAUAGCCCGCGAAGAAACUGGCAUGCCGAGAUAUUUUAUCAGAAUGGACCCCAGCUCACAAUUCAUCAUAUGGGCAGCUCUCAGCUGAGAUUUUAAAUCUCCUCCAGUGACAAUCUCUUCGCUCUUGGCGAACUUAAUUUUGAGCCCGGACAUCUCCUCGAAACACAUAAGUAGAAAUUUCAGAUUCGUGAUCUCCCUCUCAGAGUUCCUAAUGAAGAUGAGUGUGUCAUCGACGUAUUGCAGGUGAGUGAUACCUCCAGGAAUGAUGCCCGUCGCGACUCCCGAAAUAUUUCCCGUGGUCUUGGCAUGAUCCAGGAUCGCGGCAAGCGCAUCAGCCAGAAUAUUGAACAGUAGAGGUGAUGUCGGAUCCCCUUGUCUCACCCCUCUUUUAUUUAGGAAAAACGCGCCCACCUCGCCGUUGACGCUUAUGGCCGUCUGACUCCCUUGAACCAAUUGGCGAAUCCAACUAACCCACGUCGGGUCAAAACCCUUAGCCCUAAGGGCUUCCUCAAGAAACUCCCAUCGCACUCAAUCAUACGCCUUUUCAAAGUCAAUUUUGAGAAUGAACACCUCUUCUUUUGUGACCUUAAUAUUGUGAAGCACCUCAUGAAGCACCGCAAUCCCAUCAAGAAUGCUUAUCUCGCACAUGAAGGCCGUUUGGUUUGGGUCGAUAUUUUUAUGAGCCACCGGCAAAAGGCGGGAAGCGAACACCUUGGCCAACAACAGAAAACUCAGAUUAAUUAACUUGAUGGGUCUGAGUUGCCGGAUUUAUCCGCCCCUUGGAUUUUAGGUAACAACGCCACAACCCCAUAGUUGAGAUGCUUAAUGUCUAUACGCCCCAACGUAAACUCAUGAACCAGGUUAAAAAACUGGGGGCCAACCACAUUCCAUAAUUUCUUGUAGAAGGUCACAGGAAAACCAUCCGGGCCAGGCGCCGUAUUGGUCUUCAUGUCAUUCAGAUUUAGUGUCACCUCUUCAAGAGUAAAAGGGCAGAUAAGAACGAGGUUAUAUGCCUCGGAGAACCUGCCGAUCGCCCCCCACAUAUCAGGCCCUAAAGUUGCCUCCCCACCCGACACCGAACCAAAAAGAUCUCUGUAGAAACCAUCAAUAUGCGUCCGAAGUUCCCUCUCAGAAGUAAAUGUGGCGUUCCCCUCUCUCAAAAUAUGGAUCGUACAUCUCUGUCUGCGACCAUUAGCGAUUGCAUGGAAGAAUUCCGUGCACGCAUCACCUUUAGGACCCACUUUUGUUGGCCGCGUUGCUGCCAAUACAUCUCCUCACAUGAUAACACGAAGACCAUCUCUUCCUCAAUCGCGUAUCUUUGAUCCCACGCGCCACUAGAGAGCCCUAUGGAAUCAGCUCUCACGUCUAGGCCCUUAAUUUCCUCGAGAAGGUGCUCCUUGUGAUGAACCAUCUCGCUCCCAAUAUUUGCCCCCCAUCCACGCAGAUGAUACCAUGCACGUCUAAUGCAGUGCUGCCACUCAUCCAGGCUAUCACACAAGGGGCCGUAGCGGUGGGGUUGCUAUGCCCGAGCCUGGACCCACAUGUGGCACACCCUCUCAUAGAAACGUGGAUGAGACAACCACUGCUUCUUGAAGAAGGAGCGCCACGGGAUACUACGCCGUCUCUCGCUAGAGUGCAAAAUGAGAGGACAGUGAUCCGAACCCAAAAAGGUCUCGGCCACAAGAGAGCAAGCGGGGAACAAGGCCUCCCAUUCAAUGGAGACAAAUAUGUCGUCAAGGACGUACCGGAUCGGGAUAUCUUGGUUAUUGGUCCAGGUAAAAUUUGCCCCACAUCUUUGUAGUUCACUGAGCGCCAAGUCCGCCACCCACCCAUUAAAGUAUCCACUAGGUUCUGGUCAUUCACCAACCUAUUAAUCUUGUCCUCCGCAGAACGAAUGAGGUUAAAAUCUCCCGCAAUGAUGAUGGGAAGGAAUGAGGAAGAGAUUUUCAUAUAUAACUCCAUCGGGAACUCCCAUGAUCGAGCAUGGUCAGCCGGGCCGUAAACCACCACUAAUUCCCAUCGGCGGUUAAUAUUCCGUUGAUCCACCUCUACCGCGUCGAAAAACUCCCCCCUAGAAAGCGAUUCCACCUAGAAAGUCUCAUUGUUCACCCCUAGGAGAAUCCCGCCGGACCAACCAUUAGCCGGUAACCAUUCCCAAUGGAAGGGGGAUGCUCCUGCAAGCGAGUCAAGCUCCCACUGAGCAAAAGAUGCUCAGAUAGUCUCCUGUAGCCCCCACAAAGUUCUUCUUUGUUCUUUCUUUGCAAAAACUACAAAAAGACGCCACCGGUCCCUUUGACCAAAACCUCGCAUGUUCUAUACUAAGCCAUUCAUUGCUCAACCGAGGGGGAUCGGGCUCCCGCCCCAUCAGUGUGUUGGAUCACCCCCUCAGGGGACGAGNNNNNNNNNNNNNNNNNNNNNNNNNNNNNNNNNNNNNNNNNNNNNNNNNNNNNNNNNNNNNNNNNNNNNNNNNNNNNNNNNNNNNNNNNNNNNNNNNNNNNNNNNNNNNNNNNNNNNNNNNNNNNNNNNNNNNNNNNNNNNNNNNNNNNNNNNNNNNNNNNNNNNNNNNCACGACCCGUUCCGUGGCCUCGCCCAUGGCCACGGCCACGCCUUCUGCCCGAAGCCCCUCGCCCCAUCGACUGUGCCGUCUCCUUGGCAGUGUCAACGGCGUCGAGAGCCUAGGCCUCUACCGCCAUCGUCCGUGUGAUGUCCCACCUAGCAAUGGCCUCUACAAUGGAGGCUUGGGCACCCUCCUAGGCCCGGAAGCAUGCCGGCACCUCGAGAGGGGAUUUAUCCUCCAAGCCGAGGAUGAUAUUGCUGUCCUUCACCACUCUCAACAGAUGCGUAUCCGAGGCAAAGGCAAGAAAUUUGAAAGAGGACAUGGAUCGGGUGAUAGGUUUGGAUGACAUACCUUGCAGCUCCUUGGAAGCCUUGAGCGCCAUAGCCUUGUCCAUCAUGUUGGAGGCCUUAGAUGUCGCGAUCCACUUGCUGCCGCGUGACGCUUGGACCGGACAAGCCGGGG
rnacentral:lncRNA from 1 species